rnacentral:rRNA from 1 species
UACGUAGGGCGCAAGCGUUAUCCGGAAUUAUUGGCGAAGAAGCACUGUAGGCGGUUUGUCGCGUCUGCCGUGAAAGUCCGGGGCUCAACUCCGGAUCUGCGGUGGGUACGGGCAGACUAGAGUGAUGUAGGGGAGACUGGAAUUCCUGGUGUAGCGGUGAAAUGCGCAGAUAUCAGGAGGAACACCGAUGGCGAAGGCAGGUCUCUGGGCGAUUAACUGACGCUGAGGAGCGAAAGCAUGGGGAGCGAACAGG